GACGAACGCUGGCGGCGUGCUUAACACAUGCAAGUCGUACGGUAAGGCCCUUUCGGGGGUACACGAGUGGCGAACGGGUGAGUAACACGUGGGUAACCUGCCCACAACUUGGGGAUAACGCUAGGAAACUGGUGCUAAUACUGGCUAUGUGCUCCUGCUGCAUGGUGGGGGUUGGAAAGCUCCGGCGGUUGUGGAUUGACUCGCGGCCUAUCAGCUUGUUGGUUGGGUAGUGGCCUACCAAGGCGGCGACGGGUAGCCGGCCUGAGCGGGUGACCGGCCACAUUGGGACUGAGACACGGACCAGAGUCCGAAGGGAGGAAGAAGGGGGGAAUAUUGAACAAUGGGAGCAAGCCCGAUGCAGCAACGCCGCGUGCGGGAUGACGGCCUUCGGGUUGUAAACCGCUUUCAGCAGGGACGAAGCUGUUUGUGACGGUACCUGCAGAAGAAGCACCGGCUAACUACGUG
rnacentral:rRNA from 1 species